AUUGAACGCUGGCGGCAGGCCUAACACAUGCAAGUCGAACGGUAACAGGAAGCAGCUUGCUGCUUCGCUGACGAGUGGCGGACGGGUGAGUAAUGUCUGGGAAGCUGCCUGAUGGAGGGGGAUAACUACUGGAAACGGUAGCUAAUACCGCAUAAUGUCGCAAGACCAAAGAGGGGGACCUUCGGGCCUCUUGCCAUCGGAUGUGCCCAGAUGGGAUUAGCUUGUUGGUGGGGUAACGGCUCACCAAGGCGACGAUCCCUAGCUGGUCUGAGAGGAUGACCAGCCACACUGGAACUGAGACACGGUCCAGACUCCUACGGGAGGCAGCAGUGGGGAAUAUUGCACAAUGGGCGCAAGCCUGAUGCAGCCAUGCCGCGUGUAUGAAGAAGGCCUUCGGGUUGUAAAGUACUCUCAGCGGGGAGGAAGGGAGUAAAGUUAAUACCUUGGCUCAUUGACGUUACCCGCAGAAGAAGCACCGGCUAACUCCGUG
rnacentral:rRNA from 1 species